UCGUACCAAAUAUCCCUUUAAAGUGUGUUAUUUUCGUUUUAUAUUCGUCCCUUUUCAAAAGAGAAUGCAUUAUUGCUAGAAAUCUCGUUAGCACUAGAUUAAGUUGUGUGGGAAUUUUGAUACUAAUUCUUUGGUGUUGGUGACUAUGAAGUUAACGUUUUCUCUAAAAUUUGAUCUUUUGCUUUGAUGUUGUGGAAUGUUCUUCCCUUCUUUCAAGGUUAAUGACCAAAUUAGCAGCUUUUCUUCUUUCGGCGCUUUGAAACAAAAGCAUCGAUCAACAAAGACAGCAUAUCUGUUAUAAUCUAAUUGUUAAUUUGCUAGACGUGAUGCACUAAAUGAUGUUUAAUUAUAAAGUAAAUGUCUAUUUAGUACUAAUUUUAGAAAGUUUUGGCCCGGUCUAAUGAAAAUAAGAUUUCAUUACCCAUUCAAACUGUUACUUGGUAAAAUACAUUUAUACCCUUAUACUCAUUCUCUCUCUUCUCCUCUCAUUUUCCAUCAAAUCUGUUUCUCUCUCUCUCUUCUUUCCUUUUCGAUAAUAUAUAUAUAUAUAUAUAUAUAUAUCUCUCUCUCUCUCNNNNNNNNNNNNNNNNNNNNUAGUAAACUUCAUUUUUUCGCAUCUAAGUUGAUUUUUCUCCUUUUCAAUGUGAAUUAUGGCAUUGGAGCUACUGUUUUGUAAGUUUACUACCCCCAGUAAAAGUUUACUAGGGGUAGUAAACUUCAUUUUUUCGCAUCUAAGUUGAUUUUUCUCAUUUUCAAUGUGAAUUAUGGCAUUUGGAGCUACUGUUUUGCAAGUUUACUGCCCCAGUAAAAGUUUACUAGGGGUAGUAAACUUUAUUUUUUCGCAUCUAAGUUUAUUUUUUCUCUUUUUUCAAUGUGAAUUAUGGCAUUAGAGCUACUGUUUUGCAAGUUUACUACCCCCAGUAAAAGUUUACUAGGGGUAGUAAACUUCCGGCAAGAUCCGGUGGGUUCUAGUGACAUUUUUUUCAAAAAAAUCCAAUGAGACUCCGGCGUCUCCGGUGAUUUUCCGAUCACCAUCAAUUUUCCGACGACCGGUGACCGGAAUCCGGCGGCCAGUGUCCGGUGACGGGAAUCAGGCAACCGGUGUUCGGCGACCGGAAUCCGGUGACCGACGACCGGCGCUGGUGUCCGGUGUGCUUCCGGGAAAGUCUUCCCUUCUUUUUUUCUUUUUUUCUCUUUAAAUAAAGGUUAAGGGUAAAAAAGUCUUUUAAAAUAUCAUUUUAUUAUAUUUUAAUAAAGAUUUGUGUAUUUAGGCUUAAAAUAAGUACCUUGUAUUCAAAUGGGUUAAUAAAAAAGAUUAUCAUUGAAAUGGGGUUUGACUUUUUCUAUUUUGUGCAAAUGGUAUUUUUCCCUUAAUUAUACGACUAUUCAAGACAUGAUAUCGAUCAUCUUUCAAGCAAUUAAAAAUAAACUUUUCUUUGAUUCCAUGCAUCGAUCGAUCUUCCUGGACCAUCGUCUUUGUAAUUGAUGUGCAAUAUAUACAGAUUGGUCUUUCAAAUGUGACUCGUAAUGGUAGGAUUAGUGUAAUUAACAUGGAACAACAUAAGUGUGUUUGAGGGAUCCGGUCGAAGGUUAAUUUGAUGAUAGCUUCAUAUUCAUGAGCUCGAUCAAAAUCCUAAAUUGAUGAAUAUAUAUAACGGAUGAAAAACAAAUUAGUGGGACUAUGUCGAUACGAUUACGAAUGGGCAAACGAGAUUUAACCACUUCCUAUAUGCAUAUCAAAGCUCUUUAAAUACCAAUCAAAAGCUAAUCAAUAUGCCUAUUUUCUUGAAUCACAAUGAACCUCACAAAUUAGAGUAACGUUAAGUAAACUACCUUUUAGAAUAUCACCUAAAGUCCAUCUUACGUGACAGCUGAUGUGGACUAACCAUGUCAUCAAAUCAUAAUUUCUGUUUUUUUUUAUGUUUCUAUUUUUCUUAAUAACGAUUUUUUUUUUUUUAACUUUUCUUGACUUUAUCAAAUUUUUUAAGUCCUACUUUUUAGAUUGUUGAUCAAAUCUGAUCUUAUUGCGCGAUGAUUUUGAUUCAACAGUCGACGUUGUCGAUCACAUCCAUUC
rnacentral:lncRNA from 1 species